rnacentral:rRNA from 1 species
GAUGAACGCUGGCGGCGUGCCUAAUACAUGCAAGUCGAGCGAACAGAUAAGGAGCUUGCUCCUUUGACGUUAGCGGCGGACGGGUGAGUAACACGUGGGUAACCUACCUAUAAGACUGGGAUAACUUCGGGAAACCGGAGCUAAUACCGGAUAAUAUUUCGAACCGCAUGGUUCGAUAGUGAAAGAUGGUUUUGCUAUCACCUAUAGAUGGACCCGCGCCGUAUUAGCUAGUUGGUAAGGUAACGGCUUACCAAGGCGACGAUACGUAGCCGACCUGAGAGGUGGAUCGGCCACACUGGAACUGAGACACGGUCCAGACUCCUACGGGAGGCAGCAGUAGGGAAUCUUCCGCAAUGGGCGAAAGCCUGACGGAGCAACGCCGCGUGAGUGAUGAAGGUCUUCGGAUCGUAAAACUCUGUUAUUAGGGAAGAACAUACGUGUAAGUAACUGUGCACGUCUUGACGGUACCUAAUCAGAAAGCCACGGCUAACUACGUG